GAAUGUAUUUGCUCGAGAACACCGGCGGAGGAAGACACGAACACUCCUCUAGAAACGUCAUUGUAGGACUCAAUCGCAAUGGGAUUUAGUACGACGAGGCACAUUCUUGUUGUCGCUAUGGCUUCACUCUCGAUCUCGGAAUCUCGUUCUUGAAUCGCAAAUCCUUCUCUUCACUGGUCUUGUCACCAAUCGCAUGGCAAAUCACAUUUCCUCUCUUCUCUGUUUGUGUCUUUGUUUCUGCUGACAAUUCUGACAUAUUGUUAUGAAUUUCAGUGAUGUGGUGGUGCAGGGACAAAGAGAAAGGAUAAAGGGUGAUUAACCAAGCUUAUAAUUGUGGCAGAGUAAUUAUGGAGGAGGCUAUGGUUCCCAGUCUUGAUUUAUAGUUUUUUUCAAUUUUAGCCAUUUCAAUGUUGAUUAUAACUCUGAUUUGACUAAGUUAGUGUCUGUGCAUCUGCUCUUCUAGUUAGGCUAUGAUAAUCUGCUAUUUUAGCUAUGGUUCCUUGUAAAUUUAUGUUUUUUGUGCUUUCAUGGAUGGACUUAUGGCCAUUUGGAGCUACUUGUGUUGUGGCUUCAAGCAUGGGUGAUGGUGGCGACUGGUAGCUUCUUGUGGGUUGGAAGCUUGAAAAGAACAUGAGGUUCCUUUUGCAAAAGGUGUGGAUUGUGGAAGCAAAGUGACGUGGGAAGUUUGAGGAGAAUUGAUUUUCGAAAAAACUAGAGGCAAGGGAUGGUAUUUCCUUAACGAUGGAAGACAUUGGAACUUCUCGUGUUUGGAACAUGCACUAUAGGUAAUGCCUGGGUAGUUGUUGUGCCAGUCCUGAACUGGUUCUAUAGGAAGCUGCUAUAGCUGGUUGAUUAUGAGAGGGACUAGAAUAAGUAUGAUAACAAUUUGAACAAAGUAGGACUGUAGGAACAGAACUCAUAAAGCUAUGAGGAGUUGAAGGAGCUUGUGGAGGAAAACGAAGUCACAACUUUGACGAGGAUGAAGAAGAAUAUGACGACGACAAUGAAGAUGGGGAGCGUGACGUAGAGGAAAGCAAGCUUACUUAAAUUAUUGGGCUUUGUGUGGAACCCUCUCAUGGGUCAUGGAAGCUGCUGCUCUCAUGAGAAUUGCAUAGGAAAAUGGAGGGGUGCGUUAUGUUCUUCAUGGAAUUGGCAUAUAUGCUGAUUAGGAACAAUAUUUUGUAUAUUUUCUCACUUAGAUGAAUAUGAUAGUUUUCUAAGUCUCAAUAUUGUGUAAGAAAGCAUCCCUCUGUCCUAUCAAACUAUGAAUCUUAAUUGCUUUGAAAUUUAUCAAGACAUAUAACAUGUUGAAUUUCUA